rnacentral:lncRNA from 1 species
UGGUUUUACCCCAAAGAGAUGCACAUUUGAAGAGAGACUCAGAGGAAGGUAUAGAGACAUUGAGAGAGAGAGAGAGAGAGAGAAAGCGGUGUAUAGAGAGACCGAUGAAAGGAAUCCGACCACCCCAAUCGAUGAAGGGGAUGAUGGCGACGUCUUAAGGCUGAGUUCUCCGCCGACUUCAGCAAACACAUUUUUUGGCAGAGAGCAUACCAGAUUGGAUAUUGUGUGCCACUGAUUUGUACUCGAACCCUAAUUUCAUAAGGGUUUAGACUGGGAUUUCUCUCAGGUUUUUGACUAAAUUGUUGCUGGUGAAGAGGUUUAGGAAGUGUGAUGUUACAAUUUCUUGCGCACAGGUUAGAAGUUUAUCUGAGCAAAGAAAAUUUAAAGGAGGUGCAUUUUAGUAAUAGGUUUUAUAAAAUAAAAUACAUGUAAUCUUACUUAGAAAUGUAUUUAUUCAUUGCACCAAACAUGAACUUAUGUUGAC